GCUUACGGCCAUACCAGCCCAAGAAUGCAUGGUCUCGUCUGAUCUCGGAAGCUAAGAAGGCUUGGCCGGGUUAGUACUUGGAUGGGAGACCUCCUGGGAAUACCAGGUGCUGUAAGCU
ensembl:rRNA 5S_rRNA 5S ribosomal RNA